UUGAGGAUCGACCUCGAAUAUUCUACUUAACGGUUAGAUAUUUUGGGUAAUUACUCCAGCAAUCAAGUUGGCGCCGUUGCCGGGGACCAAUUGUGUUACCUAAGGAUUUAGGAUUAGUUUCUAGUCU
rnacentral:sRNA from 1 species